rnacentral:lncRNA from 1 species
CGACGUAGGUUGAUGACGACGAUAACUACCUAGCUGUUGUAAGUACUUUCUUAUUUUCUUAGUAUCAGUUUGAGUGUCCAGUAAGUCAGGUGAUGGCGAAGCCCCAACUAUUUUUAUUUUCAACUGUGUGUUAGCUGUGCCUCUCCCUCUGACUUCCUCUCUUCUAGCCAUUGUGUUGUCCGUGAGGAGGCUCAAAACGAAGUUGGUGAAGACUUUACUAGGUAAACCUUAUUUUAGAUUUGUGUUUCUUUUAGAUUUGAUGUUAUUUUAGAUCAAAUAUGUUUAAGAGCUGAUGUUUUAGAUUCACAUCUAUUUUGUCUGGGUACUAACCCGUUUUGUUCUUCUAAAAAAUUUUGUUGCUCAUAUGAUUCAGAUCUGAUUAUGCUCUUCUAGGAAAAAAAAUUUGUGAAUUAUUUUUUCUUUUUUUUUCCAGAAAUCAUGGGACCAAAGAAGGAAGGUAGGAAGAAGAAAGGAUGAAAGAAAAAAAGUGUUGAGAUUAGAGGACUAAAUCAGAUAUGAUAUGUUUGUUUUUGUUUUUUUUUCUACUUAGUUAAUAGAGUGUAUAAAAUAGUAAGAGAUGUAUAUUGAUAUAAUGAUAUAAUACAUGUUUAUUAUGUGUAUUUUUUGUAUAUAAUAAUAUAAUGGACUCAUAAAAUGGAUAUAACUUUUUUUAUAAAUUCCAU